GUGUUCGGGUAAUCGCUGUGACAGCAAUGUUGCAGAGGAAAGUCCAUGCUCGCACGGUACUGAAAUGUCCGUAGUGUUUGUGCUCGGUGAAACAAUAAGCCGAGGCCCGCUUAGCGGUGAUGGCGAAUGAACCACCUAAGUUCGUAAGAAUAGGGUGUUAAUUCAUAAAGUGCCACAGUGACGUAGUCUUUUUGGAAACAAAAAGAGUGGAACGAGGUAAACCCCACAAGCGAGCAACCCAAAUUUUGGUAGGGGCACUUUGUUCACGGAAUAACAACGUAGAACAGAGGCGUAUUAAUCGUAGACAGAUGAUUAUCGCUCUUAUAUUAGUACCUGGCUAUAUAAGAGUACAAAACAUGGCUUAUAGAA
rnacentral:RNase_P_RNA from 2 species